rnacentral:tRNA from 1 species
UCUGUCGCCUAAUGGUAUGGCACUAGACUUUUAAUCGAGUUUAUGCAGGUUCGAAUCCUGC